CCGAAACCCCGUGAAUGGAGGAAAAUUGGUCAGGGCGGCAAGACGAGCCAUCCACAGGAACCUCCCCGGUCCAGAGGUUCACCAAAGCCCAGGAUGGCUCAACAGCAGGUGGAGGAGAGCUUUCUUCCACUGAACCCCGUCUGGUUCAGCAGCACAGCCCUAACUGCCAUGGAGAAAGUGUCUCCCUCACAUAUGUCUUGCCUGGCGGAUUUCAAUGCCUUGGAGAAAGUGUCUCCCUCCCGUCAUGUCUUGCCUGGCGGAUUUCAAGGCUUCUCCUAAGCCAAAGAAGCUGUUUGACUCACCCCCGGCCAGAUUGUCCUGCAGUUGGGGCAAGACUGAAACCCCUGUUUGUUCUCCCAUUGCAAAGAUGGCCAAGAUGAUGACCCCCUCACCGACUGGACAGGCCUGGACAGCUGAUGAUGCGGGCUGCAAGCCUCCUUCUCCUCAGAAGAUGACCCGAACACUGACUCCAUCACAAACCAAGUGGCCCUGGUUCAUGACAGCUGCAUCCACCUCAGCUGAUGCACCAACAGACAAUG